AUUGAACGCUGGCGGCAGGCUUAACACAUGCAAGUCGAGCGGAGAGAGGUAGCUUGCUACUGAUCUUAGCGGCGGACGGGUGAGUAAUGCUUAGGAAUCUGCCUAUUAGUGGGGGACAACAUUUCGAAAGGAAUGCUAAUACCGCAUACGUCCUACGGGAGAAAGCAGGGGAUCUUCGGACCUUGCGCUAAUAGAUGAGCCUAAGUCGGAUUAGCUAGUUGGUGGGGUAAAGGCCUACCAAGGCGACGAUCUGUAACUGGUCUGAGAGGAUGAUCAGUCACACUGGAACUGAGACACGGUCCAGACUCCUACGGGAGGCAGCAGUGGGGAAUAUUGGACAAUGGGCGCAAGCCUGAUCCAGCCAUGCCGCGUGUGUGAAGAAGGCCUUAGGGUUGUAAAGCACUUUCAGUGGGGAGAAAGGUUAUUCACCUAAUACGUGAGUAAAUUGAUGCUACCCACAGAAGAAGCACCGGCUAACUCCGUGCCAGCCGCCGCAGUAAUAC
rnacentral:rRNA from 1 species